GUGCCCGCUUCAGCAGCACAGAUACUAAAAAAUUGGAAUGAUACAGAGAACAUUAGUAUGGCCCCUGCACAAGGAUGACACGCAAAUUCGUGAAGCAUACAAUAAAGAA
ensembl:snRNA U6 U6 spliceosomal RNA